ACGGAAGCAGCAGUGAGGAAUAUUGGUCAAUGGGCGGAAGCCUGAACCAGCCAUGUCGCGUGCAGGACUACGGCCCUACGGGUCUUAAACUGCUUUUGCAAGGGGAUAAAGUGGGGCACGCGUGCCCCUUUGCAGGUACCUUGCGAAUAAGGAUCGGCUAACUCCGUGCCAGCAGCCGCGGUAAUACGGAGGAUCCGAGCGUUAUCCGGAUUUAUUGGGUUUAAAGGGUGCGUAGGCGGGCUGUUAAGUCAGCGGUGAAACCCCCGGGCUCAACCCGGGAACUGCCAUUGAAACUGGCGGCCUAGAGUACGUUGGGAGUGCGCGGAAUGUGUGGUGUAGCGGUGAAAUGCAUAGAUAUCACACAGAACACCGAUCGCGAAGGCAGCGCACUACGCCGCAACUGACGCUGAGGCACGAAGGCGCGGGGAUCGAACAGGAUUAGAUACCCUGGUA
rnacentral:rRNA from 1 species